UCCCCCUGUGCCUCUGCAUUGUUAACCAAGUAGCUGCACAGCCAAAAGGCCAGAGACUGGGGUGGGGAUGUAUUGUUGGAGGCGCCUGCGCGGCCAAGCCAUCAGCUGGUGGGCCUGCCCAGGGGGGUCCUUCUCACCCUGUCCUGGUGGCUGGUGGAAAGCUGGUGGAGCAAGCUGGAGCAAGCAGUUCCUGGUCAGCCUGCAACCGCUUGGCCCCACUUGGCCCCUCCGGCUCUGUUCGGCCAACGGUCAGCUGGUGGGCCUGCCCAGGAGGGUCCUCCUCACCCUGUCCUGGAAAAUGUUAACAUACAGGAACCAAAUUUCAAUCUAAGGCUUGAGGUAAGAUUUUUAAGAUUUGAGUGUUCUCUCACUUUAUAUAACCCCAUGCCACUGGAUAUAGAAAAAUACUGCUAUGCCCCUGGGAUUUUCCACCUAAUGUUAUUUCUUCUAUUACCUGAGUCAAUGCCUUGGUUGGCUAAUGCACUGCUCCAUUCUGUGGGCUAGUACUUUCCCAAUCUGGAAAAUGAGAAGGUGCACCCAUGCUUUAUGCUUCAAACAAAUUUCCAAAAGUUUGGUUUUUCUGAGGGCCUGCAGCUUUUGCCCUCCUAGUAUCUACUUCUGUAUUUAUUGAGGUGUUUGUUUCCUCUCUUCUCUCUGCAGGCUUUACAGUGCCAGGUGACUUUCCCAAGGUGACCCUUGUGAUGAGAUGAAGGCUUCAGCUCUAAUAUUUGUCCUCAUUCCAGCAGUAGGAAGGACAUGUCCAGAAGAUUUACACUUGUUUUUGUUAACAUUGCAUUGACCAGGGCUCAGACCUGCUUCUGUAUUGCUAGGAGAUAUGGUGAGCAAUGUACCUUCAGUUCUGGGACACUGUGCUCUGCCUAUGUAUUAUGGGGAAACCUAUGAAUUUGUAAGAAGGGAAAACAUCUUGAGAGAAAAGUAGCCAUUUUGCCACCCACAGGAUUCUUCUGACUUUCACUUCUUUGAAACAAUCUGGUUUUUCCCAGUGUUAAAUAUAGAAGGGCUGAAGGGAGGGCAGGGGAAUGGGGAAAAAAAAAUAAGAACCAAGAUGUAUCAUGUAGAGGUUUCCAAUGAUGAAUGUCAUCAUAUUGUAUAACUAAAAUGUACCAAUAAACUUAAUGAAUAAAAAAAUAUGUUUACUCUGAAGUCUGCAGGAGUGUGACUCCUGAAAAUAUGUUGAUACAAUGGUUUGUCAUUUAAAUUUUAUCAUAUUAUAAAAUUUGGCUGAAAUCAGAAAUAGGAUCAAAAUAUUAUCAGUAUUAAAAAACACACAAAACCUUAAAUUUCUACAUAAAAUUUUUUAUAUCUCACCAAUAAAUGGAAAAUCCAUUAUCAUUUCCCAUAAAUAAGAAAUCACAAUAUACAUGUAUACCUAUAAAUAAUUCUAGACCUCUGACUUCUCCAUAUGCCAAUUUUCCUGUUUAGAGAAAAGCAAGUCUAAAAGUUCUUGUUUUAUGUAGAUUUAUUUAAUUCUCCCCUUUUCUUUCCUUUCUUCCUUUUAUUUCCUUAUUUUUAUGUUACCCAGAAGUUUUAAAUUU
rnacentral:lncRNA from 1 species